UUUCCGUAGGUGAACCUGCGGAAGGAUCAUUACUGAUUUGCUUAAUUGCACCACAUGUGUUUUUCUUUGAAACAAACUUGCUUUGGCGGUGGGCCCAGCCUGCCGCCAGAGGUCUAAACUUACAACCAAUUUUUUAUCAACUUGUCACACCAGAUUAUUACUAAUAGUCAAAACUUUCAACAACGGAUCUCUUGGUUCUCGCAUCGAUGAAGAACGCAGC
rnacentral:misc_RNA from 1 species